rnacentral:rRNA from 1 species
CGUCAAAUCAUCAUGCCCCUUAUGACCUGGGCUACACACGUGCUACAAUGGUUGGUACAACGAGUUGCGAGUCGGUGACGGCGAGCUAAUCUCUUAAAGCCAAUCUCAGUUCGGAUUGUAGGCUGCAACUCGCCUACAUGAAGUCGGAAUCGCUAGUAAUCGCGGAUCAGCACGCCGCGGUGAACUACGUUCCUGGCCUU